rnacentral:rRNA from 1 species
UACGUAGGGGACGAGCGUUAUCCGGAAUUACUGGGCGUAAAGGGUGCGUAGGCGGCUUAGUAAGUCAGCGGUGAAAUUUUGCAGCUCAACUGUAACAGUGCCGUUGAUACUGCCAGGCUAGGAUUUGGUUGCUGUGGGUGGAAUGUGUGGUGUAGCGGUGAAAUGCUUAGAUAUCACACAGAAUAUCGAUUGCGAAGGCAGCUCACAAAGCCAAGAUUGACGCUGAGGCACGAAAGUGUGGGGAUCAAACAGGA